rnacentral:rRNA from 1 species
GGACCCAGACCGCUAUCGGGGUAGGGCUAAGCCAUGGGAGUCAGAACGCCCCGCCGCUGCGGGGCGUGGCGAACAGGCUGAGUAACACAGUGGCUAACCUACCCUCGGGACGGGGAUAACCCCGGGAAACUGGGGCUAAUCCCCGAUAGGCGGGGAGGCCUGGAAGGGUUCCCCGCCGAGAGGGGCCACCGGGGGUUAUCGCCGGUGGUCCGCCCGAGGAUGGGGCUGCGGCCCAUCAUGGUAGUUGGCGGGGUAACGGCCCGCCAAGCCGUCGACGGGUAGGGGCCGUGAGAGCGGGAGCCCCCAGAUGGGCACUGAGACAAGGGCCCAGUGCCCUACGUGGGCGCACCAGGCGCGAAAACUCCGCAAUGCGGGCAACCGUGACUGUGGGCUACCCCAGA